GCUGGGCAUGGUGGCACAUGCCUGUAAUCCCAGACACUCGGGGAAGCUGAGGCCAGGAGGAUCCGGAGUUUAAAGACAGCCUUAGCAACAGUGAGGCGCUAAGCAACUCAGUGAGACCCUGUCUCUA
rnacentral:sRNA from 1 species